CUGUCUCUCCUUCAUCACAGUCCCUGGAGUGCCGGUAGAACUCUCUCUCCCAUCAGUCUUGUGCAUGAGCACUAAUGCCACCUGUUGCUGAUUGGCCAGAACAAUGUUGUGGGGAAGAUCCUCCUCCCCUGCAGUGACCUCUGAAGGUUUCAUGCUGACUGAAGUCAAGCAAUGAUCACGCCACAUCCAACCAGUGCUGCACCGUGGGAGUGUAAAACAUACUGGUGACCAGCGCUCCCAGCACAGGGCGGUGCCCUAGGCGCCUGUCUAAAUGGCCUAUAUCUUUAGCUGGCCCUGGUUGGUUUCAUCCAACACUGCCAUUGGUGGGACGCAUCGGGCUCAGGGGUCGAUGCCUGUGACUAUCAAUGCUGACCAAGGAACAGAGCUGUGCAACAAGAACGAGGGCGGAACAUCGUUUUCAGACCUCUUUUACUCUUUAGACCCACCGGUUAUCUUUCAGCCUCACUUACAGUGAGAGUCGUGUUAUCUGUUCCUGUCAUAUUUACCGAGCAGACCUUUGCCUUCUUGGAAGCACACAUGGGCACAUGUGCAUACACACAGCUGUCAUUUGUUAGCAGCCUAAUCCUGA